CCUUGUCGGAGCCGCACGCCUAUCUAGGAGUAAAUUGCGAGUGUUUCUGCGGCAUGGUCUCCUUCCUCUCCAACUCGCAGGGCUGAGCCGGUUUCUGGGGGAUGUAGAAACUGUGCGGGUUGGUCUCUAUUGCACUUAGGUCGCAGGCUCAAGUCGGAGUGAAUUCCGAGUGAUCGUGCGGCAUAGAUCCAGGCACGGAUGACCCGCAUGCCUAAGUCGCACGAUUGUGGACUUAGCAUUUCUCUUGCUCGGGAGCUCCAGACCUCUUCCAGUGAUAGUUUACCCGCACAUUUCAACUCGCAGCAUCAGCAUUCAGGCGUUCAUCUUCAGGCCUGCGGGUUAACCAAGUCG
rnacentral:lncRNA from 1 species